CCAAUAGCGUAUAUUAAAGUUGUUGCAGUUAAAAAGCUCGUAGUUGAAUUUCGGGGUUAGUAGGUCGGCCAUGCCACUGGUAUGUACUGGUCUCACUGAUUCCUCCUUCCUGAUGAACCGUAAUGCCAUUAAUUUGGUGUUGCGGGGAGACUGGACUGUUACUUUGAAAAAAUUAGAGUGUUUAAAGCAGGCUAACGCUUGAAUACAUUAGCAUGGAAUAAUGAAAUAGGACGUUCGAUCCUAUUUCGUUGGUUUCUAGGAUUGACGUAAUGAUUAAUAGGGAUAGUUGGGGGCAUUAGUAUUCAAUUGUCAGAGGUGAAAUUCUUGGAUUUAUUGAAGACUAACUACUGCGAAAGCAUUUGCCAAGGAUGUUUUCAUUAAUCAAGAACGAAAGUUAGGGGAUCGAAGACGAUCAGAUACCGUCGUAGUCUUAACCAUAAACUAUGCCGACUAGGGAUCGGAUGAUGUUAAUUUUUUAAUGACUCAUUCGGCGCCUUACG
rnacentral:rRNA from 1 species